rnacentral:tRNA from 1 species
GUACGCAUAGCUCAGACGGAUAGAGCAACAGACUGAUAAUCUGUGUGUCGCGGGUUCGACUCCCGCUGCGGCA